rfam:Pseudomonas batumici strain TCM B-321 Contig_12, whole genome shotgun sequence.
UGUGUCGACGGAUAGACACGGCGAUCAAGGACAGAUCGCUGGAAGGAACAUCGCGGGAUGCGAUUCAUCAGGAUGAUGAAAGGGAAAAAAGGGACUAGGGAAAAAAUGUGGGCGGGUCAUACCGCCCCUUUUUUU